rnacentral:rRNA from 1 species
UAAGGCUGAGACACGACGUCGAGCACCUACGGGUGUGAAGUCAUUGAUGCCAUGCUUCCAGGAAAAGCCUCUAAGCUUCAGAUUGUAAGGAAUCGUACCCCAAACCGACACAGGUGGUCGGGUAGAGAAUACCAAGGCGCUUGAGAGAACUCGGGUGAAGGAACUAGGCAAAAUGGUACCGUAACUUCGGGAGAAGGUACGCUCUCGACGGUGAAGUCCCUCGCGGAUGGAGCUAUUGAGAGUCGCAGAUACCAGGUGGCUGCAACUGUUUAUUAAAAACACAGCACUGUGCAAAAUCGUAAGAUGACGUAUACGGUGUGACGCCUGCCCGGUGCCGGAAGGUUAAUUGAUGGGGUUAGACUUCGGUCGAAGCUCUUGAUCGAAGCCCCGGUAAACGGCGGCCGUAACUAUAACGGUCCUAAGGUAGCGAAAUUCCUUGUCGGGUAAGUUCCGACCUGCACGAAUGGCGUAAUGAUGGCCACGCUGUCUCCACCCGAGACUCAGUGAAAUUGAAAUCGCUGUGAAGAUGCAGUGUACCCGCGGCUAGACGGAAAGACCCCGUGAACCUUUACUACAGCUUGGCACUGAACAUUGACCCUACAUGUGUAGGAUAGGUGGGAGGCUUUGAAGCACGUACGCCAGUAUGUGUGGAGCCGUCCUUGAAAUACCACCCUUGUAGUGUUGAUGUUCUAACGUCGACCCCUAAUCGGGGUUGCGGACAGUGCCUGGUGGGUAGUUUGACUGGGGCGGUCUCCUCCCAAAGAGUAACGGAGGAGCACGAAGGUGGGCUAAUCACGGUUGGACAUCGUGAGGUUAGUGCAAUGGCAUAAGCCCGCUUGACUGCGAGAAUGACAAUUCGAGCAGGUGCGAAAGCAGGUCAUAGUGAUCCGGUGGUUCUGAAUGGAAGGGCCAUCGCUCAACGGAUAAAAGGUACUCCGGGGAUAACAGGCUGAUACCGCCCAAGAGUUCAUAUCGACGGCGGUGUUUGGCACCUCGAUGUCGGCUCAUCACAUCCUGGGGCUGAAGUCGGUCCCAAGGGUAUGGCUGUUCGCCAUUUAAAGUGGUACGCGAGCUGGGUUUAGAACGUCGUGAGACAGUUCGGUCCCUAUCUGCCGUGGGCGUUGGAAGAUUGAAGGGGGCUGCUCCUAGUACGAGAGGACCGGAGUGGACGAACCUCUGGUGUUCGGGUUGUGUCGCCAGACGCAUUGCCCGGUAGCUAAGUUCGGAAUCGAUAACCGCUGAAAGCAUCUAAGCGGGAAGCGAGCCCUGAGAUGAGUCUUCCCUGAUACUUUAAGUAUCCUAAAGGGUUGUCGGAGACUACGACGUUGAUAGGUCAGGUGUGUAAGUGCUGUGAGGCAUUGAGCUAACUGAUACUAAUUGCCCGUGAGGCUUAACCAUACAACACCCAAGGGGUUU